rnacentral:rRNA from 1 species
CUGGCUCAGGAUGAACGCUGGCGGCGUGCCUAAUACAUGCAAGUCGAACGGGAGUGCUGCACUCCAGUGGCGAACGGGUGAGUAACACGUAGGUAAUCUAGCAUUAAGACGAGGAUAGCUUCUAGAAAUGGGAGAUAAUACUGGAUAGGAAAUUUUCCUGCAUGGGGAAAUUUUUAAAGAUUUAUCGCUUAAUGGGGAGCCUGCGGUGCAUUAGCUAGAUGGUGAGGGUAACGGCCCACCAUGGCGAUGAUGCAUAGCCGGUCUGAGAGGACGAACGGCCACAUUGGGACUGAGAACGGCCCAAACUCCUACGGGAGGCAGCAGUAGGGAAUUUUCGGCAAUGGGCGGAAGCCCUGACCGAGCAACGCCGCGUGAUUGAAGAAGUAUUUCGGUAUGUAAAAAUCUUUUAUUUGGGACGAAAAAAUCAAAAUUGACGGUACCAAAUGAAUAAGCCCCGGCUAACUACGUGCCAGCAGCGGC